CAGAUUGAACGCUGGCGGCAUGCCUUACACAUGCAAGUCGAACGGCAGCGCGGGAGCAAUCCUGGCGGCGAGUGGCGAACGGGUGAGUAAUAUAUCGGAACGUGCCCAUKAGUGGGGGAUAGCCCGGCGAAAGCCGGAUUAAUACCGCAUACGACCUGAGGGUGAAAGCGGGGGAUCGCAAGACCUCGCGCUAUUGGAGCGGCCGAUAUCAGAUUAGCUAGUUGGUGGGGUAAAGGCCUACCAAGGCRACGAUCUGUAGYUGGUCUGAGAGGACGACCAGCCACACUGGGACUGAGACACGGCCCAGAC
rnacentral:rRNA from 1 species